UACGAAGGGGGCUAGCGUUGCUCGGAAUUACUGGGCGUAAAGCGUGCGCAGGCGGUUAUGUAAGACAGAUGUGAAAUCCCCGGGCUCAACCUGGGAACUGCAUUUGUGACUGCAUAGCUAGAGUACGGUAGAGGGGGAUGGAAUUCCGCGUGUAGCAGUGAAAUGCGUAGAUAUGCGGAGGAACACCGAUGGCGAAGGCAAUCCCCUGGACCUGUACUGACGCUCAUGCACGAAAGCGUGGGGAGCAAACGAGG
rnacentral:rRNA from 1 species